UCCCUGGUAGUCCAGUGGUUAAGACUCCAUGCUCCCAAUGCAGGCGGCCAGGGUUCAAUCCCUGGUCAGGGAA
rnacentral:tRNA from 1 species